rnacentral:rRNA from 1 species
AUACGGAGGGUCCAAGCGUUAUCCGGAUUCAUUGGGUUUAAAGGGUUCGUAGGCGGAUAAAUAAGUCAGUGGUGAAAUCCCGAAGCUCAACUUCGGAACUGCCAUUGAAACUGUUUAUCUUGAAUUUAGUUGAAGUGGGCGGAAUAUGACAUGUAGCGGUGAAAUGCAUAGAUAUGUCACGGAACACCAAUAGUGAAGACAGCUCACUAAGCUAAUAUUGACGCUGAUGAACGAAAGCAUGGGUAGCGAACAGGAUUAGAAACCCUAGUAGUCC